rnacentral:lncRNA from 1 species
GAUAUAUCUGAAUCGAUCUUCUCUUCUCUGAUCCCCUAUUCCACUAUUGCCCUACCACUACUGCCACUCCAUCUGUCCAUCCCUAAACUCAACAAAAUAUCAUGCUUCUUAAUCUAGUCGGGUAAGACCUGCCCCAUUCAAAUCGGAUCGGGUCGGGUACCCAUCGGGUUGGAAAAAAUUACCAUUCCUAUAUGGGAUAAGGUGCUAAUAUCAAACUUAAAAAAGUGCCUCAUUGUCUACUGUUGAUAAUUAUAAAAGUUGACAAGGUAGGAUCAGCAAAAGCAAAAGCAAGGUUCUUCUGAUAAUCCUCGUAGGUUUUGUAAUCCUCCACAACUCGAAGGAAUCUCUUCUCAGCUGAAGCCACCCA